GACGAACGCUGGCGGCGCGCUUAACACAUGCAAGUCGAACGGAAAGGCCUGCUUUCCCCUGUGGAUUGCGGGUACUCGAGUGGCGAACGGGUGAGUAACACGUGAGUGAUCUGCCCCCAACUUGGGUAUAAGCCUGGGAAACUGGGUCUAAUUCCCGAUAGGACUGCAGGGUGGUGCCUGUGGUGGAAAACGAUUUUCUAGUGGUUGGGGAUGAGCUCGCGGCCUAUCAGCUUGUUGGUGGGGUAAUGGCCUACCAAGGCGGCGACGGGUAGCCGGCCUGAGAGGGUGGACGGCCACAUUGGGACUGAGAUACGGCCCAGACUCCUACGGGAGGCAGCAGUGGGGAAUAUUGCACAAUGGGCGGAAGCCUGAUGCAGCGACGCCGCGUGGGGGAUGACGGCCUUCGGGUUGUAAACUCCUUUCGACCGCGAGGAAGCCACCUGGUUGGAAGGGUGGUGACGGUAGUGGUAGAAGAAGCACCGGCUAACUACGU
rnacentral:rRNA from 1 species